GGAGAGGAUGGAAGGGUGUUGGAGAUCAAAGUCAGAUCCUGAUGCCUGUGUAGCAAGAAUUUCACCUAAUGAGACAUCUUCUCGGUCCCUUUUUGAUAUUAUUUUAAAGUAAAAAAAAAAAAAAUCUCAUUUUCUAGCCUCUGAAAUGGAAAGGAAAAACAUCUAAAUUCUCCCUUCCACCUUCACUAAACUUUGAGUGUGUGCUUCUCUUUUCUCCAUAAUAGUUCGUGUUUUAAUAACAUGAAGUGAAAUCAGGAUUUUUAUUAUCACAGUUUACAACACAUUCAUGCAUGAAACAUAAAAUUGGAGGCACUAUCCUGUUUUUGAUCAUUACCUGUGUAUCUCCUUUGUGAAAAACAUGAUCUGCUUUGAUUGCUUGCUGUUUUCCCAGGAGAACUUGAAGCCUCAUAAUCUCUGUACUUUUUUUUUUUUUUUUAACUGAUUCUUUCUCCUUUUGAAGCAACCAGGGCAAGGGAAAAGUCCUAUUUAAGUCUUAUUAUAUUUGAAAAAUGGAGAACAUUGGCCAUGAAUUUUAAACUCUCUUGAAAUGGUUCUGUCUCUACAUCUCUUACCUCAUACAACAAAAUAUCACAUCAGUUCAGUCAUUUCAUCUCUCGGGUCCUAGACCCUGGGAAAAGUCGGUCUGAUAGUUAAUUCCUACAAGGAAGGCUACCUGCACUUAAGAUCUGCUAAACUGAGCUCCUAGAACAUCGUUAAUACUGCAAAAAACGUCACAAUAGUUUACCUUGUGCCAAUUAGUGGUUCCCUUUGAAAGUCUGAAAAGUUUUUAUUUACUGUGUCCAAAUGUUUUCAAUCUUCUGUUAAAUACACCAUCAUUAGUAAUCCUUAAGUUUGCUAAACUGAAUACAUUUUCAAAAGUAUUUAUUUUAAACUUAAACAUAUAAAAGGAAUUAUUUAAAGAACUUUACAUGUCUCCAUAUCUCAGUUCCAAGCAUAUAAAAAGGUGUUAUGAACGGAAUGAUUGCCUUUCCCUAGAAAUCAAAGACUUAUUCUUGUCAUGAGAAUCAAGCAUGUACGUAUUGAAGUUCUGCCUUUACAAAGUGGCCCAAUAUCUCUAUUAGUCCUUUUAAUAUAAGGUUAGAGUGAGAGAAAGCUAUCAAUGAGAUUGUUAGACCCUCACUGGUGCUAAAUGUUUCAAGCUUGAUCCUGGCCUUCUGAUGUAUGGGUCCAUGUGGGACAGAUGUUUAUUGUUGCUAAGCUUCUCAGUUCAUAGUACAUUCAAUAGAAUCCCAAAUGAACUAAGGCAAGGUUCUCAACUGUAGGAAUCAAUGAAUGGAUGAAUAACACAUGAAAUCCUUGGAUGUUUGAAAAGAAGUCCUCCCUAGAACUGGAGGAAAAUACCACAUAACAGGAAAUAGUGAAAUACAAGCAAGAUUGAAUGGAUUAGUGACAUUUUCAACUACUUUUAAAGUAAGCCUUGCAAGGGCUAGAAGAAAUGGAAAGCAGACAUAUUGCUAAUCAGACCUGAGUCUUUAUUAAGUUUAAUAUUUCAGUGUGGCUUGGAAUGUACUCUUCUGCAAACAGCUGCUUUUCCUAGAUGCUUGGGGAAAAGCAAGAUAGUUUCCAAGAUGACAGUUGUCCUUGUUUCUGGGAGAACAAGGAGAAAUAAGGUGAAAUUCCACAGUCUUGAAGAAUCACUAUUGAUAGAAAUUUUUACAAAACAUGUGUCUUGAGAAUUUUUCUUGCAACUUUUUCAUCUAAAGUAUUUGAUGAUGAAUGAUCAGGAGGGAGCUGCAACAGGGGAUUCUGUCUGGUGUGUGUGAGGAAACAAGCCAAAGUUCUGGACUGAGAAAGAGAACUAGAUGAAGCUUCCAGAUCUGAUAUGCCCAGACCUUUCCUGGGUCGCAGGUGCCCCUAUCUGCUGGCCAUACCAAUAUGGCCAGUGUAGAUACUAGGGCAGAAACUAAGCAGCAAAGAUGACCAGAUUCUAUUUUGAUUUUGAUAACACUACCUAUGGGGUAUAAAAUAAUUUUGAUUCAAAAAACACAUUUUUCUUUUAUUGGAUAUUUUUCUUUAUUUACAUUUCGAAUGUUAACCCGUUUGCUGGUCUUCCCUCUGAAAACACCUUAUGCCAUUCCCUCUCACUGCCUUUAUGAGGGUGCUCUCCCACCCACCCACUCCUGGCUUCCAGCCCUGGCUUUUCCCUACUGGGGUGUUGAAUCCCCCUCAGACCAAAGGGCCACUCCUCCCACUGAUGUCCAACAAAGCCAUCUUCUGCCACAUAUGUGGCCAGAGUCAUGGGUCCCUCCAUGUUUGUUGGUGGUCCGGUUCCCCAGAACUCCAGGAGGGUCUGGCCAGUUGACACUGUUGCUCCCCCCAUGGGGCUGCAAACUCUCUCAGCUCCUUCAGUCCCUUCUCCAACUCCUCCAUCAGGAACUCCACACGCAGUCCAAUGGUUGGCUGCAAGCAUCCGCUUCUGUAUUUUUCAGGCUAUGGAAGAGCCUCUCAGGAGACAGCCAUAUCAGGCUUCUGUCAGCAAGCACUUCCAGAAAUCCACACUAGCAUCCAGGUUUGGUUACUGUUUAAGGGAUGGAUCCCCAAGUGGGUCAGUAUCUGGAUGAUUUUCCUUCAGUCUCUGUUCCACACUUUGCCUCCAUAUUUUCUCCUGUGAAUAUUUUGUUCCUCCUUCUAAGAAGGACUAAAGCAUCCACACUUUGGUCUUCCUCCUUGAGCUUCAUAUGGUCUGUGAAUUGUAUCUUGGGUAUUCUGAACUUUUGGACUAAUAUUCACUUAUCAGUGAAUGCAUACAAUGUGUGUUUUUUUGUGAUUAGGUUACCUCACUUAGAAUGAUAUUUUCAAGUUCUAUCAAUUUGCCUAAAAUUUUCAUGAAUUCAUUGUCUUUAGUAGCUGAGUAGUAUUCCACUGUGUAAAUGUACCACAUUUUCUGUAUCCAUUCCUCUGUUGAGGGACAUCUCAGUUGUUUCCAGCUUCUGGCUAUUAUAAAUAUGGCUGCUAUGAACAUAGUGGAGCAUGUGUCCUUAUUACAUGUUGGAGCAUUUUCUGGGUAUAUGCCCAGUAGUAGUAUAGCUGGGUCCUCCAAUCUAUAGAUGCAAUGCAAUCCCCAUCAAAAUUCCAACUCAGUUCUUCAUAGAGUUAGAAAGAAUAAUUUUCAAAUUCAUUUGGAAUAAUAAAAAAAGAUAAGAUAUCGAAAACUAUUCUCAACAAUAAGAGAACGUCUAGGGGAAUCAGCAUUUGUGACCUCAAGCUGUACUACAGAGCAAUAGUGAUAAAAACUGCAUGGUAUUUGUACAGUGACAGGCAGAUAGAUUAAUGGAAUAGAACUGAAGAUCCAGAAAUGAACCCAUAUACCUAUGGUCACUUGAUCUUUGACAAAGGAGCUAAAACUAUCCAGUGGAAAAAAGACAUUUUCAACAAGUGGUGCUUGUUCAACUGUCAGUCAACAUGUAGAAGAAUGCAAAUUGAUCCAUUCUUAUCUCUCUGUACAAAGUUCAAGUCCAAGUGGAUCAAGGAUAUCCACAUAAAACCAGAUACACUGGAUCUAAUAGAAGAGAAAGUGGGGGAAGAGCCUUGAACACAUGGGUACAGGGAAAAAUUUCCUGAACAGAACACCAAUGGCUUAUGCUCUAAGAUCAAGAAUUGACAAAUGGGACAUGAUAAAAUUGAAAAGCUUCUGUAAGGCAAAAGACACUGUCAAUAGGACAAAAUGGCAACCAACAGAUUGGGAAAAGAUCUUUACCAAUCCUACUACUGAUAGAGGACUAAUAUCCAAUGUAUACAAAGAACUGAAGAAGUUAGACUCCAGAGAACCAAAUAACCCUAUUAAAAAGUGGGGAACAGAGCUAAACAGAGAAUUCUCAAGUGAGGAAACUCAAAUGGCCAAGAAGCACCUAAAGAAAUAUUUAACAUCCUUAGUCAUCAGGGAAAUGAAAAUCAAAACAACCCUGAGAUUCCACCUCACACCAGUCAGAAUGGUUAAGAUCAAAAACUCAGGUGACAGCAGAUGCUGGUGAGGAUGUGAAGAAAGAGGAGCACUUCUCCAUUGCUGGAAGGAUUGCAAGCUGAUAUAACCACUGUGGAAAUCAGUCUGGCGGUUCCUCAGAAAAUUGGACAUGGUUCUACUUGAAGAAACACAAAUUUUAAUGCAUGAUCAGUAAACCAGUCUAAGUCAGAACAAAAGAAUGAAGACAAUCCUAUUCUAGAUUUUGCAAGUGAAGAAUUAAAUUUUUUAUGCGUUUUGAGGUUGAGGCUCUAAGCAGAGAAGCUUUCAACCAAGGCAGUUAUUGUUUACAGUCUGCUGCCUUCCAGGAAAGUUCCAGCAGAAGAACUACUUUUUCUAUGGCAUAAAGAUUAAAGGU
rnacentral:lncRNA from 1 species